AAAAACGGAUCAAAAUUGGGAAUCGACUCGCAUUACUUCAAUCCCAUUCCCAUUUUUGAGAACUUCAUUUCCCAUUUCCAGUGGCCAAAUCCCAUUUUCCCAGUCUAAAAAUAGAUCAAUCCCAGUUCCCAUUUUACCCCUUCAGGACCCUCUUUUAAACAACAAACAAACAAUACUGUCAAUACAUGCAAUAAUUGUAAUCAAUUUCUCACCACUUCAAGCAUUGCCUGCCAAUAAAAAUAUCUUUGCCUAAGUUUAUAGUUUUUUUAUGUAUCUUUAAUUUAAGAUAAUUCCCAAAC